rnacentral:rRNA from 1 species
CUGCAGCCCGAGUGGUGAUCGAUUUUAUUGAGCCUAAAGCGUCCGUAGCCGGCCCGGUAAAUCUCUGGGUAAAUCGAUGGGCUCAACUCAUCGAAUUCCGGAGAGACUGCUAGACUUGGGACCGGGAGAGGUCAGAGGUACUUCAGGGGUAGGGGCUAAAUCCUGUAAUCCUUGAAGGACCACCAGUGGCGAAGGCGUCUGACUAGAACGGAUCCGACGGUAAGGGACGAAACCCUGGGGCGCAAACCGGAUUAGAUACCCGAGUAGUCC